UACAGAGGGUGCGAGCGUUAAUCGGAAUUACUGGGCGUAAAGCGCACGUAGGUGGCGACGUAAGUCGGGUGUGAAAGCCCCGGGCUCAACCUGGGAAUUGCAUUCGAGACUGCAUUGCUGGAGUACGGAAGAGGAAGGCGGAAUUCCCGGUGUAGCGGUGAAAUGCGUAGAUAUCGGGAGGAACAUCAGUGGCGAAGGCGGCCUUCUGGUCCAGUACUGACACUCAAGUGCGAAAGCGGGGGGAGCAAACAGG
rnacentral:rRNA from 1 species